CAGCCGCCGCGGUAAUACGGAGGAUCCAAGCGUUAUCCGGAAUCAUUGGGUUUAAAGGGUCCGUAGGCGGUCUUGUAAGUCAGUGGUGAAAGCCCAUCGCUCAACGGUGGAACGGCCAUUGAUACUGCAGGACUUGAAUUAUUGGGAAGUAACGAGAAUAUGUAGUGUAGCGGUGAAAUGCUUAGAGAUUACAUGGAAUACCAAUUGCGAAGGCAGGUUACUACCAAUUGAUUGACGCUGAUGGACGAAAGCGUGGGUAGCGAACAGGAUUAGAUACCCCGGUAGUCCCUGUCUCUUAUAC
rnacentral:rRNA from 1 species